GAUGAAGAACGCAGCGAAAUACGAUAAGUAAUGUGAAUUGCAGAAUUCAGUGAAUCAUCGAAUCUUUGAACGCACAUUGCGCCCGCCAGUAUUCUGGCGGGCAUGCCUGUCUGAGCGUCAUUUCAACCCUCAUGCCCCUAGGGCGUGGUGUUGGGGAUCGGCCAAAGCCCGCGAGGGACGGCCGGCCCCUAAAUCUAGUGGCGGACCCGUCGUGGCCUCCUCUGCGAAGUAGUGAUAUUCCGCAUCGGAGAGCGAUGAGCCCCUGCCGUUAAACCCCCAACUUUCCAAGGUUGACCUCAGAUCAGGUAGGAAUACCCGCUGAACUUAAGCAUAUCAAUAAGCGGAGGA
rnacentral:misc_RNA from 1 species